rnacentral:rRNA from 1 species
UACGAAGGGGGCUAGCGUUACUCGGAUUGACUGGGCGUAAAGGGCGCGUAGGCGGUUUGUACAGUCAGACGUGAAAUUCCUGGGCUCAACCUGGGGGCUGCGUUUGAUACGUGCAGACUUGAGUUCGGAAGAGGGUCGUGGAAUUCCCAGUGUAGAGGUGAAAUUCGUAGAUAUUGGGAAGAACACCGGUGGCGAAGGCGGCGACCUGGUCCGAUACUGACGCUGAGGCGCGAAAAGCGUGGGGAGCAAACAGG